rnacentral:rRNA from 1 species
UACGGGGGGGGGCUAGCGUUGUUCGGAAUUACUGGGCGUAAAGGGCGCGUAGGCGGUCUGCUAAGUUGGAUGUGAAAACUCUGGGCUUAACCCAGAGCCUGCAUUCAAUACUGACAGGCUAGAGUUCUGGAGGGGAUAGCGGAAUUCCUGGUGUAGCGGUGAAAUGCGUAGAUAUCGGGAGGAACACCUGUGGCGAAAGCGGCGCACUGGACCAUAACUGACGCUGAGGCGCGAAAGCUAGGGGAGCAAACAGG